CGAAAGCCUGACGGAGCAAUACCGCGUGAGGGAGGAAGGCUCUAGGGUUGUAAACCUCUUUUCUCAGGGAAGAACAAAAUGACGGUACCUGAGGAAUAAGCAUCGGCUAACUCCGUGCCAGCAGCCGCGGUAAUACGGAGGAUGCAAGCGUUAUCCGGAUUUAUUGGGCGUAAAGCGUCCGCAGGUGGCAGUUCAAGUCUGCUGUUAAAGGUCGGGGCUCAACCCCGAACAGGCAGUGGAAACUGAACAGCUAGAGUACGGUAGGGGCAGAGGGAAUUCCCAGUGUAGCGGUGAAAUGCGUAGAGAUUGGGAAGAACACCGGUGGCGAAAGCGCUCUGCUAGGCCGAAACUGACACUCAUGGACGAAAGCUAGGGGAGCG
rnacentral:rRNA from 1 species